UACGAGGGGGGCAAAUGUUGUUCGGAAUUACUGGGCGUAAAGGGCUCGUAGGUGGCCAACUAAGUCAGACGUGAAAUCCCUCGGCUUAACCGGGGAACUGCGUCUGAUACUGGAUGGCUUGAGUUUGGGAGAGGGACGCGGAAUUCCAGGUGUAGCGGUGAAAUGCGUAGAUAUCUGGAGGAACACCGGUGGCGAAGGCGGCGUCCUGGACCAACACUGACACUGAGGAGCGAAAGCCAGGGGAGCAAACGGG
rnacentral:rRNA from 1 species